rnacentral:rRNA from 1 species
UGGUGGAUUGAUUUGUCUGGUUGAUUCCGACAACGAACGAGACCUUUACUGGCUUAAUAAGCUUCAGAAUUUUGAAUUUGAAGCUCUCUUAGAGGAACUUUGUGCGUUGCAGCAUAAUGAAGCGAAGGCAAUAACA